CCGGCGGCGCCACGCGUCCGGCCCGCUGCUGGCCGCGGCUCGCGGGGCCGGGCCGGGCCCUGACCGCAGCUCCGCCACGGCCGCUGCCCGCGCCCCGCGCCCCGCACCAACAAGCCUCUCCGAAAAGCCCCCGAUGAACCCCUUUGCAAAAACAAAGAGAGGAAGACAGCAAGGGAAUGCGCGACUUGCGCAGGGACGGCAGUGGCAGUGAGAGCCCAGUGACUGGCCACACAGCCCAGCAAUCCUUUCCGUAAGCAGAUGCCUCAAGCUGAUGGAACACCCUUCCUGGGCCUUCCAGGUGCCACCAAGAGAUGGCGCGACGAGUCCUUGAGCUAAAUAUCCUCAUUUGACCUCUACAGAAGACCACGAUUUCUAUCUUCUCUUUUCAUUACGGAAAUGAACGCACAUUGUCCAAAGUUUAGCAUGAUUUAAUAAUUCCUUCGAAACUACGGAGCUGCAUCUUCCUUUUCUUAAAGAUGUUGUAAGCCCUAACUAAUGAAAUUAGUACUAAGAAUUGAAAAGGAUGAGUACAAUUUGUAAAAAUUCCACAAGUUACAACGUGACCUUGGAAUGUAUGUGAAUAUCCAUGUUUUAAAAUCCUGAUGUGUAUAUCUGAAACUUUACAUAUCUUCUAACAAUCUUGCAUUAGGGAAGCCAGCAAAUAUAAGAGCUCCUGCUGAGUCCAUAAAUGCGCCAAAGCUGAUGCCAGCAAGUUUAGAACUUUGUUCUUGAGUAAGGACUGUGCAUGCAAAGGUGGAGAGGCCAGUGUGCUGCCAGCUGUCAGGACCCACCUGAACAGAGCAUCAUCUUCCUAGCUUGGGAUGCUACUGGAAGGAAUAGAGCUGGAUUGUUCUCUGGAGUCCUUCUAUACUGACUUAAUUCUUAUGUAUUUUGACAAAAUUAUUUGUCCUCUUGACUUAAAAUGGGACUGAAUCACUACAAGCUGUUUUCCUAUAGCACAUAUCAGUGUCACAGUGGAAAUGCUUCUAUUACCUAACUUCAUUCAUUCUUAGUGUCUUUUUAGCUAACUUAACUGAGACCACUCAGUUGAGUAAUCAUUACUCAGAAACAUCUGCUGAUUUUAUGCUCAAAUUUGAAAAGAAAAGGAAGUUGUUCACUGUUUGUCAGUUGUGAAGCAAUGUUGAUUUUUAAACAACAAAAAAAUCCAAACUCAGCAUUUGUAUUCAAGCUGAAGGGGUUGAGAUGCAAUUACAGCUAUGAUUUAAAAAUAUAAAAAUUUCAUUAAUUCCAAAUAUAAUCUUUGGCUGACAGGAGCAGAAUCAAAGAACAAUCUCGAGCUGUUAAGUAACAAACUGGUGCAACUAUUGACUUCAUUUUGGAUUAACAGUUAAAAUAAACAUUCUUUGAUCUCAUUAUA